AUUAAUGCACUCAUUUUAAGUUAUCGUUUCUAUAGCAACGACUCAAUCAAUCAAAUUUGAUUGAGUCGUUUCUAUAGCAACGACUCAAUCAAAUCAUCACUUGCAUAAUGGAUGGAUCUACAUAAUCUAAUCUAGAAAGAAAACCAUAUGUUUGUUGAUAAUGUGAAGCUCUCUACAAGUAGAUUCAAGUUUAUUUAACAGUUAUGGAAGGAGUCUCCAGGGUCAGUGCUUUGAAACAAAUUACUAAGAGGCCCAAACAUGUUCCAGCAUGACAAUGCCCCUGUGCAUAAAGCGAGGUCCAUGAAGACAUGGUCUGCCAAGGAUGGAGUGCAAGAUCUUGAGUGGGCUGCACUUGAAUGAGAGUCCUGACCUCAACCCCACUGAACACCUUUGGGAUGAACAGGAACAUUGACUGCACCCAAGACCUCCUCACCAAACAUCACUAAUGCUCUCGUGGCUGAAUGGACAGAUCCCCAAAGCUAUGUUCUAAAAUUUAGUGGAAAGCCUUCCCAGAGGAGUGGAGGGUUUUAUAACAGCAAAAGGAGAGACUAAAUCUGGAAUGGGAUGUUCAACAAGCACAUACAGUAUAGUAUGGGUGUGAUAUGUGUUUGGCUGCACUUACCAACCAAUUCUGACUUCUGACACAGAUUGGGUAUUGUUGCAUACAUGUAAACAGUGUGGAUCAGAUUUUUUCACAUUUGAAAUGAGGUGGUAAUUCUGAUGUCUGGCCAUCUAACUCACUUCUAAAUGCUCACAUCCGAUUUUCCUGUUAAAAUGAUCAUCACUGUUAUGUGACAAAUAAAUGUGCCAGAGUGCGAUAGAUAUUUCAACACGAGUAAGCAGAGGGAUGGCCUGGUGAUAUAUAUAAUUGUGUAUUGUGAUGGGUUGUAUAUUCAAACGGUCACACAAAAUCCUGUGGAGAUUGCGAGUUUGAAUCCAAAGAGCAAAACUGACCAUGCCCUCUGGGUGGGAGGGAUAGUUUAGUCUCUCAUCCCUGUAAAUCACUUUGACAGUAACCAAUCAUGGGCAUCUAUGAGCUAAUGUAUGCGGAAGAGGGUGGAUAGCACAUUCCUCUGAGUGUGUUAUGCUGCCUUGUGAAAAAGAUGGCUGGCUUCACAUGGUUUGGAAGGAGCAUGUGCUUGCCUUUACCCUCUCUACGUGGUAGUUGUCUGUAAUAGGGGAGAGCUGGCUGGUGGGUGGCGAUUGGUCAAGACCAAAUUAGGCAGAACUAACGGGAAAAAAGUUGCCACUACUACAUCACUCCUGACUUCUCAACCUCAAACACAUUUCCGGUGACAUCGAGGUCAACAGAAGUAAUGUGGUUCUUUCCAGAACAACAGGUCACAGGCAUGUCUCUGGACUAAGGGAGGAAACCCCUGAAGCAUGGUGAGAACAUACAAGGUCCAUGCGCACAGGGUGGAGGCGUGAAACAAGCCUCCGACUCCAGAGGUACGAGGUAUGCAUGCUAACCGCUAAGCCACCGUGCCUCCCUCAAAGUAUGUCAUAGCCAGAAAAGCCCAAUUUUUGCAGUAGGUGGAGACUGAGGCCGUUGACGUGUUCCUUAUAGAAUUACUGUAGUUUGGUGAAAUUUAAUUGGUUAGCCGAGAUACUGUAUGUUUGGUGUCCACUAACAACUACCAGAAGUCUAUUUCACCAAAGAACAUUUCUGUAAAUAUCAGUCUCAAACCAUAUCCACUUCUUUAUGGAUGUCACAUACACACACGCUGUGGUUUAAAACAUGUGUACAGUCAUUGAAAGGAAUUGAUUUGUUGAAGAUUUCUCUAGCGACACUAUAUGGCCAAAAGUUUGUGGACACCUGACUAUCACACCUGUAUGUGCUUUUAAACAUCCCAUUCCAGAUUUAGUCCAGGCGUUGCUGUCCACUCUUCUGGGAAGGCUUUCCACUAGAUUUUGGAUGCGUAGCUGUGGGGAUUUAUGCUCAUUCAGCCACAAGAGCGUUAAUGAGGUCAGGCACUGAUGUUAGGUGAGGAGGCCUGGGAUGCAGUCGGCGUUCCAGUUCAUUCCAAAGGUGUUCAGUGGGGUUGAGGUCACGGCUCUGUGCAGGCCACUGAAGUUCCUCCACUCCAACCUUGGCAAAACAUGUCUUCAUGGAGCUCGCUUGAGCACAGGUUCAUUGUCAUGUUGGAACACAUUUUUCCCCUUUAUUCCAGUGGAGGGAAAUUGUAAUGCUACAGCAUACAAAGACAUUCUAUACAAUUGUGCGCUUCCAACUUUGUAGCAACGGUUUGGGUAAGAACCAUAUACAGUAUGUGUGUGAGGGUCAGGUGUCCACAUACUUUUGGCUAUAACGUGUAUAUCACUCACUGCAAUCAUGCGAUAUAGACUGCUGCUGGAAUGUCAAUCAAGUUAGGACAGGAGUGGAAGGGGUACCUAAUAAACAGGCAACUCGUUGUUUAAUAAAUACAACAAUGAUGUACAUCCUUUCAACGUAUAAAGUAUGUACACUCCUGAAGAUCAAAAAUCACUCUGAAAGAGGUUUGCGGUGUUUCCAUUUCCAUCAGUGUGCAUGAGGUGAGAACACUAACUACCUGUUCAGCCAGUCUGAACUCAAAGAUCUCAUCAGUGGGUAAUUUUGUGGCUGAUUGUCAUUACCCUAGCACCUGCUGCAGUGCUUUGGUGGAGCAAACACAAACACACACACGCACACACCUCAUCUGUAGUAGUGACAGCUGGCUGAAUGGGCAAUGAGAGAGAAAAAGAGCUAUCGGGGUAGCACUUAUAUUCUCACCUUUCUUCUCGACUGUCAGGUUUAGGCAUGUACCAAUGAUCACUUAUACGCAAUAUAUCGCAAUACAUUUUGGAGAAUCCAA